GACAGAGGGUGCAAACGUUUGUUCGGAAUUACUGGGCGUAAAGCGAGUGUAGGCGGUUUCCUAAGUCGGAUGUGAAAGCCCCGGGCUCAACCCGGGAAGUGCACUCGAAACUGGGAGGCUAGAGUAUCGGAGAGGUUGGUGGAAUUCUCGGUGUAGAGGUGAAAUUCGUAGAUAUCGAGAGGAACACCGGUGGCGAAGGCGGCCAACUGGACGAAUACUGACGCUGAGACUCGAAAGCGUGGGGAGCAAACAGG
rnacentral:rRNA from 1 species